CCUACGGGUGGCAGCAGUGGGGAAUAUUGCACAAUGGGCGCAAGCCUGAUGCAGCCAUGCCGCGUGUGUGAAGAAGGCCUUCGGGUUGUAAAGCACUUUCAGCGGGGAGGAAGGCGGUGAGGUUAAUAACCUCAUCGAUUGACGUUACCCGCAGAAGAAGCACCGGCUAACUCCGUGCCAGCAGCCGCGGUAAUACGGAGGGUGCAAGCGUUAAUCGGAAUUACUGGGCGUAAAGCGCACGCAGGCGUCUGUCAAGUCGGAUGUGAAAUCCCCGGGCUCAACCUGGGAACUGCAUUCGAAACUGGCAGGCUAGAGUCUUGUAGAGGGGGGUAGAAUUCCAGGUGUAGCGGUGAAAUGCGUAGAGAUCUGGAGGAAUACCGGUGGCGAAGGCGGCCCCCUGGACAAAGACUGACGCUCAGGUGCGAAAGCGUGGGGAGCAAACAGGAUUAGAUACCCCUGUAGUC
rnacentral:rRNA from 1 species